rnacentral:rRNA from 1 species
AUUGAACGCUGGCGGCAUGCUUUACACAUGCAAGUCGGACGAGUGGCGAACGGGUGAGUAACGCAUCGGAACGUACCGAGCAAUGGGGGAUAACUGUCCGAAAGGACAGCUAAUCACGCCUAUUAAUCGAGCGGCCGAUGUCUGAUUAGCUGGUGGGCGGGGUAAAGGCCCACCAAGGCGACGCUCAGUAGCGGGUCUGAGAGGAUGACCCGCCACACUGGGACUGAGACACGGCCCCGACUCCUACGGAAGGCAGCAGUGGGGAAUUUUGGACAAUGGGCGCAAGCCUGAUCCAGCCAUGCCGCGUGUCUGAAGAAGGCCUUCGGGUUGUAAAGGACUUUUGUCAGGGAAGCGGUACCUGAAGAAUAAGCACCGGCUAACUACGUGCCAGCAGCCGCGGUAAUUC